ensembl:lncRNA
UGUGUAGUAACAGGCUGCUCAUUUUGAUUUGCGUUGCCCUCUCUGGAGUGUGUGUGUGAAGUGGCGAGCGCAGGUAGCAUCAAGUUCACUAUAGUUUAAGAAAUUCCUACGAGCAGCUAGCGCUUUAGAAUAUUGUUUUGUAUGUCCCUUGGAUUGUCACUAUGGAGGAUGAGGUGCAGCAAUUGCGAGACCUGGUAGCCCAACUUAAGGCUGAUAAUGAACACCUGCGGCAAGAACGUUUGGAGGUUCAGGCAAGUCCGAGUGCUGCGUCCUCUGAGUUUAAUCAUAGGGGGGCGGGGUUGGACAUGGACCCGAGAUCUUCCUCCAACGGUAAUUCAGUAGUGACGGAAAGGUUGAUUUAUGUUCCUAGGGAGAGGAAAUGUCCUGUUUUUAGGGGCCGUACCGGAAUUUCUUUGGCUGAUUGGCUAGAGGAAGUAAAGGCCAGUAUGCGUGUUCGCCACUUAUCUAUUUUUGAUAAAGCACACUUUCUGUAUGACCAUUUAGAGGGGGAAGCUAGGGAAGAAAUAAAAUUUAGGCCUAGCGAAGACCGGGACAACCCAGAUAAAGUUAUUAAAAUACUUACUGAGUUGUAUGGCUGCCCGGAUUCAUAUAUUGUUUUGCAGGAGAAUUUCUUCUCUCGACGACAACUAGAGGGGGAGACGCUCCAGGAAUUUUCACAUGCCCUUCUUGGCUUAAUGUCAAAAGUAAUUAAAAAUGCUCCAAAUGGUAUGCCCAAUUCUGAUGUUCUGUUGCGUGACCAAUUUGUAGAGUAUGUGCUGGAUUCUGCUCUUCGCAGGGAAUUAAAACAGUUUGUACGCCAACACUCUAGGGCUACUUUGCUUGAUGUUAGAGGGGAAACCAUUAGAUGGGAACGGGAGGGUAUGUUGAGAGGUACUGGGGG